rnacentral:rRNA from 1 species
UACGUAGGGGGCAAGCGUUGUCCGGAAUCAUUGGGCGUAAAGAGCGUGUAGGCGGUCCGGUAAGUCCGCUGUGAAAGUCGGGGGCUCAACCCUCGGAGUGCCGGUGGAUACUGUCGGGCUCGAGUACGGAAGAGGCGAGUGGAAUUCCUGGUGUAGCGGUGAAAUGGCGCAGAUAUCAAGGAGGAACACCAAUUGCGAAGGCAGCUCGCUGGGACGUUACUGACGCUGAGACGCGAAAGCGUGGGGAGCAAACAGGA